UGACAUCCAACUAACGAGGUAGAGAUACAUUAGGUGCCCUUCGGGGAAAGUUGAGACAGGUGGUGCAUGGUUGUCGUCAGCUCGUGUCGUGAGAUGUUGGGUUAAGUCCCGCAACGAGCGCAACCCUUGCUAUUAGUUGUUACGCAAGAGCACUCUAAUAGGACUGCCGUUGACAAAACGGAGGAAGGUGGGGACGACGUCAAAUCAUCAUGCCCCUUAUGACCUGGGCUACACACGUAUUACAAUGGCCAUCAACAGAGGGAAGCAAAGCAGCGAUGCAGAGCAAACCCCUAAAAAUGGUCCCAGUUCAGAUUGCAGGCUGCAACUCGCCUGUAUGAAGUCGGAAUGCUAGUAAUCGCGGAUCAGCAUACCGA
rnacentral:rRNA from 1 species